UACGUAGGGUGCAAGCGUUGUCCGGAAUUAUUGGGCGUAAAGAGCUCGUAGGCGGUUUGUCGCGUCUGCUGUGAAAACUGGGGGCUCAACCCCCAGCCUGCAGUGGGUACGGGCAGACUAGAGUGCGGUAGGGGAGAUUGGAAUUCCUGGUGUAGCGGUGGAAUGCGCAGAUAUCAGGAGGAACACCGAUGGCGAAGGCAGAUCUCUGGGCCGUAACUGACGCUGAGGAGCGAAAGCGUGGGGAGCGAACAGG
rnacentral:rRNA from 1 species